GCCCGUAUAGCUCAGUGGUAGAGCGCUUCACUCGUAAUAUCUAUCUGCGUAAUGAAGAGGUCCGCGGUUCAAUCCCGCGUGGGGGCA
rfam:Neurospora tetrasperma FGSC 2509 unplaced genomic scaffold NETTE2scaffold_4, whole genome shotgun sequence.